CCCCGGCAGCCGGAGGCGGCUCGCUUUGCUUCUUCGGCCCAGAGUUUGUGGCAUCCUCGCCUUGGGAGGCGAGAGCAGUUUUGGAGGAGCGGCGGAGAGUCCUGGCCCCGGAGGGGGAAUGCGCUGGGCAAAAGGAAGCCCCCCUGCACUCUGCGUACGCCCGACCCAAAGGAAUAGAGAACAACCUAGUAUGAGCUGCACCAGCACUCCUGAAAAGGGUGGCCAGAGGCAAUUUACAGUACAGGAUAUCUGUGACUUGUGCAUAAGAGGAAAUUCCGCAACGUUCUUCCCUGUGGCUCUGCAGCAUGACAAAGUACUCUGUGAUAGUUAGCUUUAAAAUGACCUGUGAGAGAAAUUAAUCACCCCAGCAACACAAGCCAAAACAUCUUUAAGUAAAAAGAAGCAGCUUUCUUUUCUUCUGUCAGACUCAGUACUUACUGGCUCUGUUGCUAAUUUUUUUGUCACUGAUACUGAAAUGAAGGCCUAUUAAGAACUUGGAAUUGGUUGACCAGUUUUUUUCUUUUUUAACCUUGUAAUUUUAGUAUAUGUCAAUCUUGUAUACGUUUUUGUUCUGGUCUUUGACUGUAAUAAAAUACUACUACUAUUA